rnacentral:rRNA from 1 species
UACGAAGGGGGCUAGCGUUGCUCGGAAUUACUGGGCGUAAAGCGCACGUAGGCGGCUCUUUAAGUCGGAGGUGAAAUCCUGGAGCUCAACUCCAGAACUGCCUUUGAUACUGAGGAUCUUGAGUUCGGGAGAGGUGAGUGGAACUGCGAGUGUAGAGGUGAAAUUCGUAGAUAUUCGGAAGAACACCAGUGGCGAAGGCGACUUACUGGACACAUAUUGACGCUGAGGUGCGAAAGCGUGGGGAGCAAACAGG